CACGUAGGGCGCAAGCGUUGUCCGGAAUUAUUGGGCGUAAAGAGCUCGUAGGCGGUCUGUUGCGUCUGCUGUGAAAACCCGGGGCUUAACCCCUGGCUUGCAGUGGAUACGGACAGACUAGAGGUAGGUAGGGGAGAAUGGAAUUCCCGGUGUAGCGGUGAAAUGCGCAGAUAUCGGGAGGAACACCAGUGGCGAAGGCGGCAUCCUGGCCCUGUCCUGACGCUCAGGGGCGAAAGCGUGGGGAGCAAACCGG
rnacentral:rRNA from 1 species